UAGAAACCUCAAUAUCAUUUUUGAAGACCUAUCCAUAGGGCCACACGUAUGAGUCUGAUGAAAAAAAUUUUUUUUUUGGGAUUUAUGACGUAUUAAAAAAAAACUACUUACUAGAUCUCGUUCAAACCAAUUUUCGGUGGAAGGUUGCAUGGUAAUGUACAUCAUAUAUUUUUUUUAGUUUUAUCAUUCUCUUAUUUUAGAAGUUACGGGGGGGGGGACACACACAUUUUACCACUUUGGAAGUGUCUCUCGCGCAAACUAUUCAGUUUAGAAAAAAAUGAUAUUAGAAACCUAAAUAUCAUUUUUGAAGACCUAUCCAUAUGAAAAAAAUUUUUUGAACGUAUAAAAAAAACUACUUACUAGAUCUCGUUCAAA